GACGAACGCUGGCGGCGUGCUUAACACAUGCAAGUCGAACGGAAAGGCCCGGCUUUUGUGGGGUGCUCGAGUGGCGAACGGGUGAGUAACACGUGAGUAACCUGCCCUUGACUUUGGGAUAACGUCAGGAAACUGGGGCUAAUACCGGAUAGGAGCUCCUGCUGCAUGGGGGGGGUUGGAAAGUUUCGGCGGUUGGGGAUGGACUCGCGGCUUAUCAGCUUGUUGGUGGGGUAGUGGCUUACCAAGGCUUUGACGGGUAGCCGGCCUGAGAGGGUGACCGGCCACAUUGGGACUGAGAUACGGCCCAGACUCCUACGGGAGGCAGCAGUGGGGAAUAUUGCACAAUGGGCGGAAGCCUGCUGCAGCAACGCCGCGUGCGGGAUGACGGCCUUCGGGUUGUAAACCGCUUUCGCCUGUGACGAAGCGUGAGUGACGGUAAUGGGUAAAGAAGCACCGGCUAACUACGUG
rnacentral:rRNA from 1 species